CUCAUCUUUGAAGCAGACCAGUUGAAGCUGAACACUGUCAAAGUCAUAGGCUGAAUCAAUAUUUUAUCAGCUCAGUAGAUGUUCUUAUGUGGUACCCAUUGAAAUUACCUUCACCAUAAUUAAGAGAAUGAUUAGGCAAAAG
rnacentral:lncRNA from 1 species